rnacentral:SRP_RNA from 1 species
UCGUGCUAGACGGGGAGCUAGCGGUGCCCUGUACCCGCAAUCCGCUAUAGCGGGGUCGAAGGCCCUCUCGCGGGGCUGCCCCGGUGGUACCGUGCCCAGCCAGCGGCGUGGAGGGUUGGGUCCCGCGCGGCGGAGGUCUGCGAACCCCGUCAGGUCCGGGAGGAAGCAGCGGUAAGCAGGAGCCUCUGGGUGACGCGGGA